rnacentral:lncRNA from 1 species
GGAAGACUCAAGAUGGCGCUGUGAGAACAACCCAGGACUGAAGCUCUCGCUGGAUGCACAGAGAGGGUGUUCCAGUUGCCUGCUGAAAGGGUGCCAGGAUCUGUGUGAUUUCCCGUGCUGCAACCUACUGUGCCAGCUGACAACAGCACUGCCCAGGAAUCUCCUGGCCUGGCUCCCUGUUUCUGACCCCUGUUU